UUUUCUGUUUAGAACAAAACGUGAAACAGACAUUGAAGCUAAACAGUUUUCAUCUUAGUCUGUUGGUUUGUUGUGACCUGGCUUCUCCUUGGAAAGCGUUAUUUGUGUGUGUUGGUUCUCCUUAGAGAAGUCAUUAGAUCAUUUCAAACCAAACAGUUCUGAGGAUUCUCUCAGGCUGUGUUUCCAUCCUGGUCCUCAGGGACCAGGAUUCAAACGAUAGCACCUGAUUCAAACGAUAGCAUUAGCUCCUGCAUGCCAUCCAGUGCUGCAGACGCCUGUUAAUCACCCAUUUAUUCAGAGCAGGUGUGUGGCAGAAGGGAGACAUGCAGGGCAGUUUUCCCUGAGGACCGGAACUGAGAAACGCCGCUCUGAGGAAACUUGGCACGAUAAGGAGACCAGCGGGGAACGACAUGUCAUCUAGGGUUUCUCUUGAUGAUAGAAAAUCAGCUCCAGUGAAACUGAGAAACACCCCGUGAGACGUCAUGGGGACAGCUUUCACCGUGGAAGUCUGCGGCAUCAACCUGCUGGGAGACGGGAUGAUUCUGCGAAGUGACGGCGUAACGUGUCAUUCCUUUAACCAUCGGGGGGUUCUAUAGAAAACAAUGCAAACACUCAAAGAUGA